AUUGAACGCUGGCGGCAGGCCUAACACAUGCAAGUCGAACGAGUGGCGGACGGGUGAGUAACGUCUUGGAAACCGCCCGAUGGAGGGGGAUAACUACUGGAAACGGUAGCUAAUACCGCACAUCAUCAGAUGUCCCCAGAUGGGAUUCGCUUGUUGGUGGGGUAACGGCUCACCAAGGCGACGAACCCUACCUGAUCUGAGAGGAUGACCAGCCACACUGGAACUGCGGCACGGUCCAAACUCCUACGGGAGGCAGCAGUGUGGAAUAUUUCGCAAUGAGCGCAAGCCUGAUGCAGCCAUGCCGCGUGUAUGAAGAAGGCCUUCGGGUUGUAAAGUACUUUCAGCAGGGAGGCGUUACCCGCAGAGGAGGCACCGGCUAACUCCGUGCCAGCAGCCGCGGUAAUAC
rnacentral:rRNA from 1 species